CCUACGGGGGGCUGCAGUGGGGAAUAUUGGACAAUGGGGGCAACCCUGAUCCAGCCAUGCCGCGUGUGUGAAGAAGGCCCUCGGGUUGUAAAGCACUUUCAGUGAGGAAGAACGCCUGGUGGUUAAUACCCAUCAGGAAAGACAUCACUCACAGAAGAAGCACCGGCUAACUCCGUGCCAGCAGCCGCGGUAAUACGGAGGGUGCGAGCGUUAAUCGGAAUUACUGGGCGUAAAGCGCGCGUAGGUGGCUUGAUAAGCCGGUUGUGAAAGCCCCGGGCUCAACCUGGGAACGGCAUCCGGAACUGUCAAGCUAGAGUGCAGGAGAGGAAGGUAGAAUUCCCGGUGUAGCGGUGAAAUGCAUAGAGAUCGGGAGGAAUACCAGUGGCGAAGGCGGCCUUCUGGACUGACACUGACACUGAGGUGCGAAAGCGUGGGUAGCAAACAGGAUUAGAUACCCCUGUAGUC
rnacentral:rRNA from 1 species